rnacentral:rRNA from 1 species
UACGUAGGGUGCGAGCGUUGUCCGGAAUUAUUGGGCGUAAAGGGCUCGUAGGCGGUUUGUCGCGUCGGGAGUGAAAACCCGGGGCUCAACCCCGGGCCUGCAUUCGAUACGGGCAGACUAGAGUUCGGUAGGGGAGUCUGGAAUUCCUGGUGUAGCGGUGAAAUGCGCAGAUAUCAGGAGGAACACCGAUGGCGAAGGCAGGUCUCUGGGCCGAUACUGACGCUGAGGAGCGAAAGCGUGGGGAGCGAACAGG